UUGCUAUCAAGCAGACGAGGGUCAUUUUGCGCAUGCGUAGUACAAAACAGCACGGGCUUCAAGAUGGCGUUCAAUUAUAAACCGCGGUCUUUGGCUGCAACUCGUCGAUUAAUGGACCAUGAUAUCAGCGAUUUUUUUUGUAAAGAAGAGUGCAUAACUGGAAACGAGCAUGAACACUAUGUGGACCAAUAGGACAUGCCUCUCAAACGCAGGGAUUUCGAUUCCCAAGUUCUGGAAGCCACGAAGAAAUGGGACGCCACUUGAUUCGCAUGACGUCAUCACCCUUCACCGCUUGACGUAGGCAUUGACCAUUCAAUUGUUUAUAGUAAAUGUAUCAUAAGGUGGAUACAUUUCUACAUUAUUUCAUUAUUAUAUAGCAUACCUCAGAACUUUUUCAUUUAAUAGCGUGAACAGAAAAUAUGUUGCAGAUCACUUUGGCCCCAGCCAUGUUAUGUUCUCUGUGACAUGCGUGGAAAACCUCCUGCUCCAGACCCAUUUAGUUAGCGCUUUGCUUUGCCACAACAUUUUGUAUUUUUGUAGGAACAGUAUGUUCCAGCAUUAUUCAGAAAAUAUUGUUUAAUGAGUUUCACGUGGAAGAAGUUGAAGGCUAAGGCUAGAACACUCAAGUAAACAUACAUCCCCAUAGAUUGUGUAUCUGUUCUCUGUGUUAUUAUUUCACAAAGCUUUUAUUUCUUCUAUAUUCUGUUAUUUUUAACCGUAUUUCCAUGUCCAUGUAGUGUAGAGUUUGAGCAAGCGGAGAAAGCCUACCUUAAGAAAUGUAAAAACCUCUUGCUCGUCUUUUCCAUUCACAUCUCCUUUCUCAAACAGCAGGAAGUUUGGAACAAAGCCGUUGCCGGGUCUGACAUACCUGGAAUCCAGAAGCGGGGGCACUUAUCAGUGGUUAUGUUUUUUUUUUUUUUUUUAGCUUUUUCCUGGCAGCCAGCUGUUGGAACUGUUGUAGAUAAGUUAUCCAAUUUGCUGGUCUAACUGUUUGCCUUUCUAGCUACAAGUUGGUAAGAUAGGUAUAGCUUUGUUCUCUGUGUAUGUAUGCAUGACUUGCUUUUAUUGCAGGAUGUGGCAUCAGCAGAAGGGGACAGUUGAUUGCUCAAGCAGUCAACCACAAGCAGAAGAAUGCGUGUAUGAUAAAGAUAGUGGUUUGUUUUUAAAUGGUCUCAACUGGAUAGUCAGGACACCCUUCCCCCGUAGCAGUUGAGACCUCCUGUGACCUAGGGAAUUCCUAAAUAAAAGGCAAGAGAGUGAAGGCUGUUUCAGAGUUGAUUUGGAGGUUGUUACUGAGCAGACUUCAAUCACUCUCCUUGCAAGUAAAACUAUCCCAGUCUCUUUGUCCUCUUUGAGCAGGUUGCUUUACAGAUGUUUGGUGAUUAAACCUGACAUUUACAUGGUCCUUCGAGCCGGAUCCCAAGAUACCUGACGAUUCCAGCGUGUGAGUGAGAUCCCAGACAAGUCCGUGGCCACGGCAAAAAGCCCCUUUCCGGGACUGGUUCCUCCCUCUCGGGCUGGGAUCCGACGGUUGACGGGAAAUCCAAGGACAAAGAGACUGUGAGUACAAAUUUUGUUUAAAAGGAAUGAAUGUGGGAAUAGACAAACCCUGCAGGUCAGACAGUUAAAUUCCGUAGGUGGGUAGACGCCCCUAGUUGAAACAGACUAGUUAAAUUCUACACAGGACGGCGGAGUCCUCUGUGCUGAAAAAGUAAGUGUACCAAACCCUGACAGUUCUAGACUCCAUCAGGUCAGACAGUUAAAUUCCGUGGGAGGACAGACUCCUCUAGUUGAAAUAAACUACGUUAAAUUCUGUGAAGGACGGCGGAGUCCUCUAGUCUGGAAAAACGGGACGCGCGAAGUGUGAAAGUGUGAAUGUAUGAAUGGAAAUACAAUUACCACUAGGUAACUGUGUUUUAUGCCAAACCAACAAGAAACAAAUGGUGAGCCUUUGUGGAUGCUUAUAGGCAAGAAAAUUCCACCUGAAAAGGUUGAAGAGAAUUUUACCACAAAAGGUUGUUGAUCACCGUCUUGUUGAAAAUAACCCCAGUGUUAGAACACGACAGGUGUUAAGAACCACUGGGUCCAAAUUUAGUUCAAAAUGGGGAAGGGACAAGGUAAAGAAAAACAAAGGUCCUUGAAGAACUCCCGUGUAAGGAUUGGAAAGUAGUUGAAAAAGCAGUAGACCCCCUAUAUUAUUGGAUAAAACAGUACGAAUUCAACGGAAAAUUAUCUACGGGAUGUAUUAGGGAGUUACAACAAAACAUAAAAAAGAAAUGUAAGCAAAACGAGAAGAAAAUGAAAAAGGAAGGUUAUGAGCAGACACGAGUCUGGAUGAAAAUAGCAGGACAGCAAGAGAAGGGUGAAAGAAGGGCAAGGCAGGAGAGAGAAGAGAAGAAAAAACAGGAGAAGGAGAGACAGCAAAAAGAAAAAAAAACAAAAAGAAAAGGAAAGUGAACAGAAAAAAAAGGAAAGUGAAGAGAAAGAAAAACCCGUAAUGUUUCACAGGAAGGAAGAUAAUGAAUAUUUAGGUCCUUACAACGUGUUGAGGCAACAAUUGGAACAGCCAGUGGGAGCCUCAGCACCAAAUGAAGAAUUAGGAAUAAAGCAACCCUGGAUAAAAAUGUUUAUAUGUCGCCAGAUAAGAAACCAAUCUUGCCAAAAAAGUGUAAAAGUGGGCUGAUGUUUGAGCCAUGGUGUUACACAUGUCUCAACAGGAGGGAUGUGUCACACUAUUAACACCCACUUUAAUUCGUAUUUAAAAAAUCUUAUUCAAAAAAUGUUGUAGAGCGUUUUUAAAGUGUGCAAAACGCAACAUCCAGGACAACUUGUGACCGAGGUGUGGCCAAUUUCCAAAACCACAAUAUUAAUUUCAAGUAAUACACAUGGACUUUAUUGAGCUAAAUAAAAGUGAAGGAAGGUCAGCCCUGAUUCUUGCAUCCCAGAGCUGUUGUAGAUUGGCUUCAGAUGGGAUGGAGUAGGGAUUAUGUGUGUGAGAUGGACCAGGAUCCUGUUCCUGGACCAGAUACUUGCUCCUUCACCCCAUUAUCUUUAUUACCUCCUGAGUUUAGUUUUCCAAUGAGUGAAUGGCCAUAAAUGCCUGAGACCAUCCUGGCUUUUUGGUUCUCCCACAAUGAUCUCUGCAAAGAUAACACGAGACGCAGCACAGGAUGCUAUGUCCUGACCUUCUACUAGUGGUUAACAGGUACUGAUCACAGUUUAACAUGCUAUUCAUCUAAUCUGCAUGCAAUAUAUUUUCAAUGAAACAGAAUUAGACUACAGCAGUCACUUUGUAAAUCAACUUUUGAGAAAAAGAGGAGUGAGUUUUAUAUGAACAAGAGAAAGUGAGUUAAACAAAAUAGAUAAGUGAGAUUUUUGUUGGGAAAAAUGGUGAUAAGGGAAAACAUCACAUUGCAUUGUUUAAAAGAAAAAUAAUUAUUUGAGAGAAAAUCAAAGAGCAUUCAAGAAUUUUGUUUAGGACAUGGACUGUUUGAAAAAAAAAAAUGAAAAAGGCUAAAAACCAUUGAGGGCAGAGAGCACGGCUUGCAGCUAAGACUUGCAAUGAUGAUCGUUACAUAGAUGAUGAAGAUCUGCAACACACACUGACAUGAAAAGAACAGACAAGACUUCUCAGAAUAGGUCUUCCUUCUCUUUCUCCUACAGUGCCUCAGUGUCUCAGAGUGGACCAUGAUCUUGAUCACAGACCUCCACCCUUGCUCUGCCAACAACCUGACAACAAUAUCCUGAUACAACAACAUGCAUGAUGAGUCCAAUAUCAUCAGCCAUGCCAUUAUGUCCAGUUUCAUCUCCACCAAGACCUGAAGAAGAUCCAACACAUGAACUGUGUUCUGACUGCAAAUGAUCCCUUCCAGACAUACAUUGUUGCUCGUAUCCAAACGGAUGCUUAGGAAGUAUCCUGUGACUGAUGGUGGAGACCAUGAGUGGGACAAUGGUGUAAGGAAGGCGUGUGGGGAGGCCAUAACAGCCCUGCUUGUGUUUAGUGAAGUUGUCCCACUUUCCCUGACCACUGAAGAGUUCUGAAGACGUUUGCUGACAUGGUGAUCACGGUGACGACAAUCACAUCACCAGCCACUAAAGCGGAAUGUGGCCGAAUUAGAACUGGAUGGAUCACACCUUUGAUGCAAGGACAAGCCAUGCACCAGAAUCCAUGGGUGGCAACAAAUGGCCACCUGCAAGGAGGACAUCCAGAGAAGAGACUGGGACAGCAAUAUGACCCUGGCAUGUGCAGCAAAAGGGGACUUUGGACCAAAGACUUGAUGAAGGACUUUCUUAACAAGCAAGGUGGAAGGAAGCAAGGAGGUGGGGCGUGAUGGGAUCAUGCCUACUCUGACUCAUCUGAUGCCAAGGAUGAUACUGAAGUUGACAGUAACACACACACACACAUACACAUCUAUAUGCCCUGUCCUUUUCUUCCUUUUGUUUAGAGUCUUGGCUUAAAUCAGCCCUCUUGCUGAUAACUAUGUAGAAUAUGAUCUACUUCUCUCUUUUAGAAUAUGCUAUAAGAAGACGUAGUACAAAAUAUGGCAAGGUUAUUUCUUUUCCUUUCUGAUGAAACACACUCACUAAGAAUGACAAAUUCCUAACCUCUCCAAAGUUGAAUGGCAAUUAUGUUAACUUUGUUGGCCAAUCAGGUGAAGUGGACCAAAGACAAGUCACCAUUGGAUUUUCUGUUUAAGAGAAAAUUCAACUUCAAAAAUUAAGUUUGUUGGCAUAUGGUGCAAAGGACCAAAUGGCCUAUUUUCUAAUCCAGAUGGAGGUGAAGGUGUAAAAACUGACACUGACCCUGAUGUUCACACUUUGGUGAAGCAAGAGGCCAAUCAGCUGUAUGCAUUUCAAAGGAAGAUGCAAACUGGUGACAUGAGUGCUCAACUGGUGGAGGAGGUUAAGAAUGUACUUUCACGCACUCACGCACACACACACACACACACACACAAUUUAUGCAAAUUGAUGCUCUGCAAGGUCUUCAAUGCACAUCAUACCUUUCUAUGGUGAUGAGAAAUUUGAUAAAAGAUAUUGACAUAGGGAUAGCUGUUAGGGGAAUGUUUAUCUCACAAAUAUUUUGUUCUGGGCAUAAGUGCUGCCUUGAUGCACAUUUGGGUUAUUCAGGUACCGUUUUUUUUUUGACGUCAAUGAUUCCAUUCCUCAUGGGUCUCUAUCUAAAAGAGACACAGUGACAAAUGGAAUAAUGUGGGCCUUUUUUGUACAAGCAUGCUAUUUUACAUUUGAUCGGGAAUGCAAAAACAAUUUGUUAAUUUAUUACAGUCCGGAAUUGGAUUUUUUGAAAAGUGUUUUUCGGCAAAAAUACACUCAGAAAGGACUGUCCAGCUGGUUUUUCAUUGUUGUGUUGUCUUGUUUGUCUGUGAGAGUGAAUGUGAGGCUGAAGCCAUCCCUGACCAUCACUUUGGGAAAGGGAAACAAAUGUUUUGCAAUACAGAACAAACCCAAUGAUUAGUUUAUUAAUAGACGCAUGCAAAGAACAUAUUAGGUUGUUCUGCUCUUUUAGCAUCAAUAGGCAUAAAUUAAAUCUGCUAAAAUGUAGAUAGUUAAUUUAGGGUAUGCAGGACCUUCAUCUAAAAAUUAGCUAUUCCGAAAAAGGCCUUGUAAAUUAGGACAAUCCGACUUUCAAAGGAACUUGGACCUUUUAAAUGUUGCAAAUGACAUCCUGACAUGACGACUAUGAGUGCGACACACCGACAGCAGGGUUCUUCAGGGGGACAGUGGACUGUGACAAAAAUUUAAAUUGACUGAAAAUUAAAUGUGAGUGUUCUUUUAGGGUUGUUAUUGUGUUGUGGGAAUACAUCAACUACCAUGAUAUAUUCCAACCUAACCUUCAUUGUUCCACAUUAGGAAAGCACAUUCUCCGGGAGGAGGAGAAGACAAAUGUCAUAUGUGGCCGAAACAUGACAUCUUUUUUGUUUAAAACUGUUUAACAGUACUAACAUGUACUAACAUUAACACUGUAACACUUGAAGUCAUUCACACACCUGGCAGGGUGUGUCAUCGUUUUAACUUCAGUUUGUUCCACAGGACACUUCUUCAGGAUCCAGAGUAUGAAUUGUUGAACUUUGUUUGAUGUUGUCCAGCUUCACAGAUUACUGUUUGCAGAUGUAUAAACAGAUAACCACCAUUUGACUUUACAGGGAACUGCCAAUGCUUUUGGAAGUUGACACAUGGGAAAAACAUGUGUCAAAAGGGGGGACAAAUAUCAUUUUGUUGAGUAAUCAUUGUUAAGAAUUGGACAUGAUAUAUUAUUUUUUGCUAAAAUUGGUUUCUCCAAAACCAAAGUGAGUGAAACAAAGGUAGGUAUGAGUUCUAACAUUAGAGGUUGAUAAUGAUCAGUGAUCAGCAGUGGCAGUGACACUCCAUGGAUUGUACAACAUGCUGAAGAUUUUGGUAAGUUACUGUAUCUUGUUUUUUCUUAACUAUAUUACUGUAUUUGGUAUUUUGCCUUCCAUAGUGCCAAUGGUCAUGCUAAUGAGAGCAAAUGGUUCAUUGAAACCCAAAUUCCCAGCUGUGAGCAAGGAACACUACUACAGUGUGACAAUGUCCAUCUUAAUGCAAAUUCAGACCAGAUGGUGUGUUGGUUUAAAUUCAGUGAAACCUUGUGUUGUUUGGCAAAAACUUAAAUGCAGAGGGUGGAUGUUAAAAUUAAAGUUAAAAUAGAUGUUGGUGGCAUGAUGGCAGAGUGGUUAGCACUGCUGUCUCACAGCAAGAAGGUUUGAGAACCUUUCUGUGUGGAGUUUCAUGUUCUCCUCAUGCUUACGUGGGCUUUCUCCUGACGAUUAGAAAAUUUUAAGGCUCAUUUACAAUCAACGUCAAUGGCCAAAAUAUGAACAAAGUGUUGUAUUCAGUCAGACACUACAUGAUGGUUGCCUACUGCUCUUAGGUUGCCUACUGCUCUCGAGAUUAGUGAGAUUAGUCAUGUGUAGGGAACACAUCUGACAUGUAUCACGUAGAUGGUAAAAUGUUGUGUUGCUCAUUCAUUUCUUUCUAUGUUCUUGGUGGGUGUCGAGUGACCUGACAUCUGUUGGCCCUGGCGGGCAUGGAGAGGACGUGUUGGAGUUCCAGCAGAGGGAAGACUCCACUGUCAGCGUGGUCAAAUGAGAGACCUGCACACAGAUCGGUCAAGGUCAAGACACUACCUGAACACUAGAGGACUACAACUACAACGACAACCAGAACGGAAGAAAUGUCCAUGCACACUCAACCUUCUCAACUGCGUGUUUGGAUGGAGUCCACGAGUUCGCACCGUGAGCUCCUGCAGCCUACAAUCAAGAGGAUUGGCUGACUGACUGACUGACAGCAAACCAUCAACAGAGGCACAAGGACUUCGACAUGAUUCGGCAAUCUAACAUCUCAAAUCAUACACAUCAAGUUCACCACAUCGUUGAUGUCAUACGGAAAACAUCUACCACAAAAGUUGAAGACAAAGACUUUAAGACACCUGGACAUCCAUUCGUCUUUUUCCUGUGUCACUUAUCUAUCCCAGUUGACGUUGGGCAAGAGGAUACACUGCUAUCCAACCAAUUAAGCAAGAAGUGUCAGGUAUAUGCACUCUUGCCCUAAGCAGAUGAAAAAGGCGAUGACGACCGAGAAGAUAGCUUUCUCAAUCUACCAGACUUGUUCCCAGAUCCAGGAGACUAUGAGUCUCCCCUCUGAGUGUAACAUGCUGUGCUAAAGUAAUGAUUUCUUGACUGAAAAUCGUUUUAGAAGAGGUCAUUGAAUGAUAACCUAUUUAGUGCAAACUGGAUAAACAGGAGGGAAAUGUUGGAACUGUUGUAGAUAAGUUAUCCAAUUUGCUGGUCUAACUGUUUGCCUUUCUAGCUACAAGUUGGUAAGAUAGGUAUAGCUUUGUUCUCUGUGUAUGUAUGCAUGACUUGCUUUUAUUGCAGGAUGUGGCAUCAGCAGAAGGGGACAGUUGAUUGCUCAAGCAGUCAACCACAAGCAGAAGAAUGCGUGUAUGAUAAAGAUAGUGGUUUGUUUUUAAAUGGUCUCAACUGGAUAGUCAGGACACCCUUCCCCCGUAGCAGUUGAGACCUCCUGUGACCUAGGGAAUUCCUAAAUAAAAGGCAAGAGAGUGAAGGCUGUUUCAGAGUUGAUUUGGAGGUUGUUACUGAGCAGACUUCAAUCACUCUCCUUGCAAGUAAAACUAUCCCAGUCUCUUUGUCCUCUUUGAGCAGGUUGCUUUACAGAU